UACGUAGGGUGCGAGCGUUAAUCGGAAUUACUGGGCGUAAAGCGUGCGCAGGCGGUUCGUUGUGUCGGUGGUGAAAGCCCCGGGCUCAACCUGGGAAUUGCAUUCGAGACUGCGUAGCUAGGGUGCGGAAGAGGGAAGCGGAAUUUCCGGUGUAGCGGUGAAAUGCGUAGAUAUCGGGAGGAACACCAGUGGCGAAGGCGGCAUCCUGGACCGAUACUGACGCUGAGGAGCGAAAGCCAGGGGAGCAAACGGG
rnacentral:rRNA from 1 species